rnacentral:rRNA from 1 species
AGAGUUUGAUCAUGGCUCAGAAUGAACGCUGGCGGCGUGCUUAACACAUGCAAGUCGAACGAGAAAACCUCUUCGGAGGUGAGUAAAGUGGCGAACGGGUGAGUAACACGUAGGAAUCUACCUUUCAGUGAAGAAUACCCUCGAGAAAUCGAGGUUAAUACUGCAUAAGUCCCUUCGGGGAGAAAGACGGCCUCUUGCUGUCGCUGAGAGAUGAGCCUGCGGACUAUUAGCUUGUUGGUAGGGUAAAAGCCUACCAAGGCUGUGAUGGUUAUCCGGCCUGAGAGGGUGUACGGACUCACUGGGACUGAGAUACGGCCCAGACUCCUACGGGAGGCAGCAGUGGGGAAUCUUGCACAAUGGGCGCAAGCCUGAUGCAGCGACGCCGCGUGGAGGAUGAAUGUCUUCGGAUUGUAAACUCCUGUUAAGUGGGAAGAAAUACCUGUAAAUAAUACGUACAGGGGAUGACGGUACCACUAGAGAAAGCUCCGGCUAACUUCGUGCCAGCAGCCGCGGUAAUACGAAGGGAGCAAGCGUUAUUCGGAAUUACUGGGCGUAAAGAGCGCGUAGGCGGUUAAUUAAGUCAGUUGUCAAAUCCCUUAGCUUAACUAAGGACCGGCAAUUGAUACUGGUUGACUAGAGGACAAGAGAGAGAAGUGGAAUUCUCGGAGUAGCGGUAAAAUGCAUAGAUCUCGAGAGGAACACCAGUUGCGAAGGCGGCUUCUUGGCUUGUAUCUGACGCUAAAGCGCGAAAGCGUGGGGAGCAAACAGGAUUAGAUACCCUGGUAGUCCACGCCGUAAACGAUGAUCACUAGAUGUGGGUUCUGUUUAACAGGAUCUGUGUCGUAGCUAACGCGUUAAGUGAUCCGCCUGGGGAGUACGGUCGCAAGACUA